CGGGCGAGCGAGAGGGCGAGAGGCCCAUCCGCGCAACGAAAGCGAAUGGCGGGACGCUCUCCCGCAGGGGGGCGGCGCCGCCGGCCGGACGUCCUCGAGGCGGACCGAGCCGGAGCGCUCGCGUCGGGACCCGAAAGGUGGUGAUCUAUCCGUGCGCGCGGCGAAGCCGGGGGAAACCCCGGUGGAGGCCCGUCGACGGUACUGACGUGCAAAUCGUUCGUCCGACGUGCGAAUAGGGGCGAAAGCCAAUCGAACCUCCUAGUAGCUGGUUUCCGCCGAAAUUUCCCUCAGGAUAGCGGCCAUCGCGGAAACGUUUUGACCGGUAGAGCGAACGACUAGAGGUACCGGGGCCGUAACGGCCUCGACCUAUUCUCGAACUCCGAACGGGCAAGGAGCCGGGGUCGCCCGAUCGGACCCCGGACGUGAAGUCGACGAUGGUCGGUGGGCUGG
rnacentral:rRNA from 1 species